CUUGAAUUCAUGAUCAAAAGAUAGUGAAUGUGAUAGUUCCUACGACUUCAGCACAUCUACAUGUUGUGUGUUAAAAAUGACAGACCUGAGAAAGACCAAAUAAGUUCAUUAAAAACAAACAAACAAACAACAAAAAACCUUUAGGGCUUUAAACUGUUGUGUCACCUUUCAAUUUACUUAUGUUUUACACGGCUCCUGGAUUUAGUGUCCCUUUCAGAAACAACAACAUAUUCCCCUGAUGACUAAAUCCAGUUUUGAAUAAAGGUCAUUUCCUUAAUUACUUACUUGAGUAAUUACUUAUUACUCAUAUUAAAUUGUUAAUAUCUUGACUGAUUUAAUUGUGUUUCCCAUCUUUCAUAUUUUUCCUGCUUAUCCAGGAACAGGUCAAAGGUUAAGUAGUAUCACCAAGUCGACCCUGACCACCUUCUCCCCAGCAGCGCCCAGGAGGCAUCCUUAACCACCUCAGC